AAACAUGUCUUUUUGAAUUUUAUUUAAAGUCUAACCUGCCCACUGAAUUUUAAAUGGCCGCAGUAAUUUGACUGUGCAAAGGUAGCAUAAUCAGUAGUCUUUUAAUUGAAGGCUUGUAUGAACGGUUGGACGAAGUAUAAGCUGUUUCAUAUAAAUUUAUUUUAGAAUUUUAUAUUUUAGUUAAAAAGCUAAAAUUUUAUUAAAAGACGAGAAGACCCUAUAAAUCUUUAUAUUUUAUGUUAUUUAAGUUUUUUGAUUUUAUUUUAUUUUUAUAAUGUAAUAAUAUUUUGUUGGGGUGAUGUUAAAAUUUAAUUAACUUUUAAUUUUUUAAAAUCAUUAAUUUAUGAAUUAUUGAUCCAUUAAUAUUGAUUAUAAGAUUAAGUUACUUUAGGGAUAACAGCGUAAUUUUUUUUGAGAGUUCAUAUCGAUAAAAAAGUUUGCGACCUCGAUGUUGGAUUAAGGUAUAAUUUUGGGUGUAGCUGUUCAAAUAUUAAGUCUGUUCGACUUUUAAAUUCUUACAUGAUC
rnacentral:rRNA from 1 species